rnacentral:rRNA from 1 species
GACGAACGCUGGCGGCGUGCCUAAUACAUGCAAGUCGAGCGCAGGAAAUCGACGGAACCCUUCGGGGGGAAGUCGAUGGAAUGGGCGGCGGACGGGUGAGUAACACGUAAAGAACCUGCCCUCAGGUCUGGGAUAACCACGAGAAAUCGGGGCUAGUACCGGAUGGGUCAUCGGACCGCAUGGUCCGAGGAUGAAAGGCGCUUCGGCGUCGCCUGGGGAUGGCUUUGCGGUGCAUUAGCUAGUUGGUGGGGUAAUGGCCCACCAAGGCGACGAUGCAUAGACGACCUGAGAGGGUGAUCGGCCACACUGGGACUGAGACACGGCCCAGACUCCUACGGGAGGCAGCAGUAGGGAAUCUUCCACAAUGGACGAAAGUCUGAUGGAGCAACGCCGCGUGAACGAUGAAGGCCUUCGGGUCGUAAAGUCCUGUUGUAAGGGAAGAACAAGUGCCGCAGGCAAUGGCGGCACCUUGACGGUACCUUGCGAGAAAGCCACGGCUAACUACGUGCCAGCAGCCGCCGUAAAAC